UACUUUUUUAGGAGUCUAUCAUGAACUAUUUUAAUGCAACGUUUAUAAAUACGUUGAAACUGUUGUCUAUCACAGAUUAUUUAGCUUGACGAAUAGGCUAUUGAGCAAACAGAUUUUAGGCUUAAAAGUAUCACGUUUAUGAAACUGUUGUCCGCAUCUCAAUAAUAUGUACCUUUUAAUACGAAGUUGUUAGUGUCUAUCAAAGAAAUAUUUUAAUUGAUAUUUAUGUAUGUCACACAAAAAUAACCCUAUCAUAUACCAUUUCUUUUAUGGACAUUUGAAGGUUGCUUCAAUGGUGGAGGAGUGCCGAUGGUCAGAGAAGUUUGUCAAACUCCAGCUUAUAAUGGACCCAGCUAACAUUCCUGGCUUAUGAUCAACACAUGCACAACCUCGUGUUACGAUGUAGCGCCAAGGCUUUGCGCUUAGCUGCCUCUCGGACUCAGCCAAAGACGAGAAAAAUAGAUGGAUGUUGACACUCCACUACAUGGAUUCACUGAUAAGCCAACUUCGGCUGGUCGGCUAUACGCACAUGACCCUCCCCAUUCUUGCCCUCCAAGACGUCCUGUCAUGCAACCUGCUGCACAAUGACUCACUCAGAUUUCUCGUGCAUGCUCGUGCAACUGAGGUCUGUCUAGAGUUAAAUCUCAUGCAGGGUUACGCUUUUCACCAAAAGGCAUGUGGACCGAUCGCGCUGAAUGAGCUUGACUUAGCAAAGUCACGAGAUGAGAUUGCCCAUUGGCGGGAGAAACAUUCACAGGUUGCAAAGGAAGAAGCUUGUGUUCAUGAGGAGAUGGCGCAGCUUGCGGUCCGGGACAAACAAUCAUCUCGAGCCUCGUAUGUUUCCCACCGGACCGAUCAGCCAACCGACAAUUCGUCCUCGCCCAUUGAUUCUCAUCUCGGCAAGGUACUGGGAGUUCAGUACAGUUCCAAGACAUCUGGAUAGAAACUGCGGACUUCCUCAUGAGACAGGGUCACUUACACCAGACAGCCCGAGAGUUUCUCUGGGAAGCCCAUGAUGUGGGAGUGUCUCUCAGUGAUGCUCCCCUGCAAGCCCUAUAUCAGCGGGGGAAACUUUCCCUGGACAGGCAGGCCAUCAACUUCUGUAUCAGAGCACAGUCUUGCUGGUUUACAGUUGGGGAUCAUUCUAGAAGAGCAUCCAGGUAUCAACAAUCCCUCCAUUAUGAAAAUGGUUCAUGAAAUCUGCGAGAAAUAUGAUUAGUGUAUAGGCUCACUAAUGUUCGGCUGGGUUAUAGACAAGAGGCGUUACCAUUGAUGCCUGAACAUGCAGCUAUUCUCACACGUAUGGCGUACGAUUCUUCUGAACCUGAGAUUCGACACAGUCUAUCUUCAGACGGCAAUUAUUCUAAGGGAGGCCGUAUCGGCUGCGGAUCUGGUUCUACAAGAUGUACAGAAACUCACCUCCCUACAAGAGACUCGUGGCAUGUCACUUCCUGUACAACGCAAGACUGGAGAUAUUAAAAUUGCAUGGGGGGAACUUCUGCUGGAGAUAUUCCGCUUUCAUGCCCGGGAAACCAGCGCGCUACAGCUCGAGGACCAGCGUGAAGGUUUCGUGCUCAAGAUGGUGGAAGGUUUUAUCUGUGCCACACUAGAUCAUUAUUAACACACAUGGAACGAGAAUGGGUCGAUACAUUUGAGUAAAGGAACUUGUAAAGUUGUCCAGCAUCGCUGAGGAAAUGAGGGUGGGGAAGAAGAGCUGCCCCCUUAUUCCAGACAGUUCCUCAAGAGCGCCUAUAAGAUACAUAACAUCAAGACUUGUUACAAAGUGUCACACAAGUAUCUCGUGCAGGAACAGAGAGUCUCGUACAAACUCUGGUCCUUCACAGGCCCUAAACAAGAAAUAUAUGGACUUGGCCGGAGUUGCUUCCCUUGAAUUGGUGGAAUGUUUUGGCCAGUACGACCCAGCGAUCACAAGCCGGUUCCUUGCUCUUUAUCAGAGCUAUGUGACCUCUACGCAUAUUAUUGACCUGUUGAUCUGUCGCCCAGCUUGACCCAACCCAGUCACGCCUGCGCGCAGCAAGCCAACUUCCUGUCAAGGAAGAUUGACAUCCAACUCCCUCGCAAGUGAAGCAUACCGCAGUCAACACAAGAUGCUCUUAAAAGCGAUUGGCAGGCCUGGAAGAAACAGGAGGUUUCCACAACCCAUAUAGACUCGCCCGAAGAUCUCCCAUCAAACUUUAACUUGGAAUUCCUUGUGCUACAGCAGUACUUGUUAGAUCAUAUCAGUUUUUAUAUAAGUCUAAGAUUUAAAUCCAGGCUUAAAAGACAAACAGGAGUUAAGCUUUUAUUUUCUACAGUUUAAUGUUACAACGUACAUCUGCCUUGUAUGGAAUGGAGCACCUGUUGCUGAAAAUCGAAGGAUUGUCGGUAGUGAUGAAAUGAUUAUUGAGUACAAUCGAUAAAUAGUUGCUGACAAUGUAAUGUCUGCGACAAUGUAAUGUCUGCGACAAUCGAUAGUGGUUGUCCAAAAUCGAUGUCGCUAAUGUUGCUUCCUGUAAUAACCUAUCUUUUUGUAAAGCGGUAACUUAAAAUGUUCUUGAUGCGGUGUGCAUCAUUUUGCAUCUGAUAUAUGUGUUUUGUUGUUUUGCUUAUUCGUGAAGGUAUUAAAGUCACUACAAGUUUAGGGACAUUUUUUAACUGCUCCAAUGACUAUAGUAUCACACUUACUGACUCCUGGAUAAACCAUUUAAAUGAUCAUGAUGAUACUAUGUAUAUGAAUGUAUUCCCAAAAUAUAUUUUGAACUUUCGAUUAUGGUCAGAUAGUAAAUCCAAAUGCUUGGUCCGAUUCCAUUCGAUUAUCGAUAGCAAAUUGAGUA